rnacentral:rRNA from 1 species
ACCGUGCAAAGGUAGCAUAAUCAUUUGCCUUAUAAUUGAAGGCUUGUAUGAAUGGUUUGACGAGAAUACGGCUGUCUCUAUUUAAUUUAGUAGAAUUUUAUUUUAGAGUGAAGAAGCUUAAAUGGAAUUAAUAGACAAGAAGACCCUAUCGAGCUUUAAGUGAUUUAGUAGAGGUAAUAAAAUUAUUUUAAAAAAUUAUCUGUUAAAGAUUUUGGUUGGGGCGACUUAGGAACAUGAAGAGCUUCCUAAAAGUUUUAAAUAAGCAAAAUUGAUCCAAAAUAUUUUGAUUAAUGAAAUUAGUUACCGUAGGGAUAACAGCAUUAUCUUCUUUGAGAGUUCUUAUCGAAAAGAGGGUUUGUGACCUCGAUGUUGGACCAGAAUGUCCUAAAGAUGUAGCAGUCUUUAAGGGUUGGUCUGUUCGACCAUUAAAAU